rnacentral:rRNA from 1 species
GAUGAACGCUGGCGGCGUGCCUAAUACAUGCAAGUCGAGCGAACGGACGAGAAGCUUGCUUCUCUAAUGUUAGCGGCGGACGGGUGAGUAACACGUGGAUAACCUACCUAUAAGACUGGGAUAACUUCGGGAAACCGGAGCUAAUACCGGAUGAUAUUUUGAACCGCAUGGUUCAAAAGUGAAAGACGGUCUUGCUGUCACUUAUAGCUGGAUCCGCGCUGCAUUAGCUAGUUGGUAAGGUAACGGCUUACCAAGGCAACGAUGCAUAGCCGAACUGAUAGGGUGAUCGGCCACACUGGAACUGAGACACGGUCCAGACUCCUACGGGAUGCAGCAGUAGGGAAUCUUCCGCAAUGGGCGAAAGCUUACCGGAGCAACGCCGCGUGAGUUAUGAAGGUCUUCGGAUCGUAAAACUCUGUUAUUAGGAAAGAACAUAUGUGUAAGUAACUGUGCACAUCUUGACGGUACCUAAUCAGAAAGCCACGGCUAACUACGUG